AAUCUCCCAGCUCAGAGUUUGGUUGUGCUGUGUGAAGUGAAGCUGGAGGCCAGGUCAUAGUCUUCCUGCAGCUGGUAGUGUCCGUACCAGCUGUGCCAGUCCGCCGCUGCAGAGCCACAGUAGCUCUGUUCAGCCGGGCUUGGCUGCCGGGUGUGAACCUCCUCCUGCGCUGCAGUGCGGCAGGGCAGGUGUGCAGAGCCGAGCCUGUGCAGUAUGUCUGGGUUGAACUGGUCAUGGUCUUGCGGUUGCCCUUGCGUUGCCCCCAGCACUCGGCCAGCUUCUCCUUGUUCUUGGAGAUGAAGUGAAAGGUGCCACUGCUGUUGUCUGUCCACUGGAUUGAGUCGCCCAUGUUGGAGUCAUUCAGAGCCUCGUGGAGUCAUAUCCCGGAGCUGGUACAUCGGGCGGGUGUGUGACGAGGCAGCAGGAGAUCUGACACUGCAGCGAUGGCUGGGUACCCAAAGUCUCAUAAUAUGUGUACUCUGAAAAGAAGAAAACGACACAUUAGCUGUCAUUUAAUUAAUUAAUUCAAGUGAUGCAAUCAAUUGAAGUUGCUUUCUUGUGAUUGUAAAAAAAAAAUGCUAAUAAUUGUGCAUUGAAAAUGUCAUGGUUAUGUAUAUUUGUAUUAAAUUAUGAAGAGAUUUUUUACUGUA